rnacentral:rRNA from 1 species
UACGCGGGGGGCGAGCGUUGUUCGGAAUUAUUGGGCGUAAAGGGCGCGUAGGUGGUUCGGUAAGUCGGAUGUGAAAUCUCCAGGCUCAACCUGGAGGGGUCAUUCGAUACUGCCGUGACUAGAGGUCGGUAGGGGAGUGUGGAAUUCCUGGUGGAGCGGUGAAAUGCGCAGAUAUCAGGAGGAACACCCGUAGCGAAGGCGGCACUCUGGGCCGAUACUGACACUGAGGAGCGAAAGCGUGGGGAGCGAACAGG